ACGCACACACCCUUAAGAAAAGAUGAUCAAAACUUGUCUAAUCUUUGAUGAACUUAACCAUUUUUCUUUCACCCUACUAUUUUAAUCCGUUGGUGCCAAAAUCUUCUUUUGUAAAAGAUCAUGUUUCUCUUCAGGAAGGGGAGUCGGUAGGAGGAAAAAAGUUUGUGUAGGAUCAGCCACUAAAUUUUUGUAAUUUUCCCAAUCCUAUGGGGGAACCCCAAGUGGGUGGUCUUGCCCUGAGAGACCGAGACCCCAGGCUCCACCAAAUUGCAAAGCCUAAAUGACUGGUCAUUACCACUUCAACUGUCUCAUGUCGUUGAACUGAUUUUGACAAUUUUCUCUCAUAAAACGGAAGGGGGUGUUGGUGGUUUUGUAGGCUCUAGUUGUUUUGACUUUCUUUUGGUUAAUAUUAAGUUGAA
rnacentral:lncRNA from 1 species